AGAAUCAACGCUGGCGGCGUGCCUAACACAUGCAAGUCGAACGAGAAAGUGGAGCAAUCCAUGAGUAAAGUGGCGACCGGGUGAGUAACACGUGACUAACCUACCUCCGAGUGGGGAAUAACUCCGGGAAACCGGGCUAAUACCGCAUAACAUCGCAAGAUCAAAGCAGCAAUGCGCUUGGAGAGGGGGUCGCGGCUGAUUAGCUAGUUGGCGGGUAACGGCCCACCAAGGCGAAGAUCGGUA
rnacentral:rRNA from 1 species